rnacentral:rRNA from 1 species
AUUGAACGCUGGCGGAAUGCUUUACACAUGCAAGUCGAACGGCAGCACGGGGGCAACCCUGGUGGCGAGUGGCGAACGGGUGAGUAACACAUCGGAACGUGCCCAGUCGUGGGGGAUAACACAGCGAAAGCUGUGCUAAUACCGCAUACGAUCUAUGGAUGAAAGCGGGGGACCGUAAGGCCUCGCGCGAUUGGAGCGGCCGAUGGCAGAUUAGGUAGUUGGUGGGGUAAAGGCUCACCAAGCCGACGAUCUGUAGCUGGUCUGAGAGGACGACCAGCCACACUGGGACUGAGACACGGCCCAGACUCCUACGGGAGGCAGCAGUGGGGAAUUUUGGACAAUGGGCGCAAGCCUGAUCCAGCCAUUCCGCGUGCAGGAUGAAGGCCCUCGGGUUGUAAACUGCUUUUGUACGGAACGAAACGGUCUGCUCUAAUACAGCGGGCUAAUGACGGUACCGUAAGAAUAAGCACCGGCUAACUACGUGCCAGCCGCCGCCGUAA